CCUCUCCAGAUUCCUUGCCCAUCAGACCUGAACACUGAUCCAAGUGGCGAUCCAAGUAGGAAGAGUAAAAGGGAAACUGACAAACUCUUUGGGGACACAUGAGCUAGUUUCGAGCAAAU
rnacentral:snoRNA from 1 species